rnacentral:sRNA from 1 species
GCGCAGCUGCGUAAGGGAUGGAAGCAGCAUCCUUUUAUUGUUUGCGGCGGCUUCGCCGCCGCCAACAAUAAAAGAUAUAGCGGACAGCCCGGCCCGAG